rnacentral:snRNA from 1 species
GCAAGUUUGGGAGAUUUGGCUAUAACAUCUGUCUCCCCAUCACGUUUCAGGCUGCUUUAGCUUAUGUGGCUACAUGGUGCCUCCUUUCUCCCCCAGUACUCCAGGUACCUCUGUUCCCAAGCAGAAUGCUCAGUCUAUAAGGAUGAGUUUUCCUUAUACAGGAGGAUGAUCAUAAGCAAAGUUUAUAUGAGCUGAACUAUCCUGUUGGAACCUGCUAACACAUUCUCAGGAGAUAUUUUAUAGACAGCAGUUUCUGCCCCAGCUGGUCCUGCAGCCCAUUCAUCCAAAUAAACACACUCAAGGUUAUAUUAAUU